AUUGAACGCUGGCGGCAUGCCUUACACAUGCAAGUCGAACGGCAGCACGGGGCAACCUGGUGGCGAGUGGCGAACGGGUGAGUAAUGCAUCGGAACGUGCCAUUGAGUGGGGGAUAACGUAGCGAAAGUUGCGCUAAUACCGCAUAUUCUGUGAGCAGGAAAGCAGGGGACCGCAAGGCCUUGCGUUCUGGGAGCGGCCGAUGUCGGAUUAGCUAGUUGGUGGGGUAAAAGCCUACCAAGGCGACGAUCCGUAGCGGGUCUGAGAGGAUGAUCCGCCACACUGGGACUGAGACACGGCCCAGACUCCUACGGGAGGCAGCAGUGGGGAAUUUUGGACAAUGGGCGGAAGCCUGAUCCAGCCAUGCCGCGUGAGUGAAGAAGGCCUUCGGGUUGG
rnacentral:rRNA from 1 species